GUUAUAGGAUCAAGCGACUAAGUGCAUGUGGUGGAUGCCUUGGCGAUCACAGGCGAUGAAGGACGUGCAAGCCUGCGAAAAGCACGGGGGAGCUGGCAAUGGAGCUUUGAUCCCGUGAUGUCCGAAUGGGGAAACCCACUCCGCAAGGAGUAUCCCUGGCUGAAUACAUAGGCCAGAGGAGGCGAACCGAGCGAACUGAAACAUCUAAGUAGCUCGAGGAACAGAAAUCAACCGAGAUUCCGUCAGUAGUGGCGAGCGAAAGCGGAUCAGCCUGCACGACUAAACCAUCUUGUUAGCAGAACGGUCUGGAAAGUCCGGCAAUAAAGGGUGAUAGCCCCGUAUGCGAAAACAAGGUGGCGGGUCUGAGCGUGCGACAAGUAGGGCGGGACACGUGAAAUCCUGUCUGAAGAUGGGGGGACCAUCCUCCAAGGCUAAAUACUCGUGAUCGACCGAUAGUGAACCAGUACCGUGAGGGAAAGGCGAAAAGAACCCCGGGAGGGGAGUGAAAUAGAUCCUGAAACCGCAUGCAUACAAACAGUGGGAGCCUCCUUGUGGGGUGACUGCGUACCUUUUGUAUAAUGGGUCAGCGACUUACGUUAUGUUGCGAGCUUAACCGAAUAGGGGAGGCGUAGCGAAAGCGAGUCUGAUAAGGGCGCUUUAGUAGCAUGAUGUAGACCCGAAACCGGAUGAUCUAUCCAUGGCCAGGAUGAAGGUGCCGUAACAGGUACUGGAGGUCCGAACCCACUAACGUUGAAAAGUUAGGGGAUGAGCUGUGGAUAGGGGUGAAAGGCUAAACAAAUCCGGAAAUAGCUGGUUCUCCCCGAAAACUAUUUAGGUAGUGCGUCGUACGGACACUUGCGGGGGUAGAGCACUGUAAUCGUUGGGGGGGUCAUUGCGAUCUACCCCGCGAUAGCAAACUCCGAAUACCGCAAAGUGAUAUACGGCAGACAGACAGCGGGUGCUAACGUCCGUUGUCAAGAGGGAAACAACCCAGACCGCCAGCUAAGGUCCCAAAUGCAUGGCUAAGUGGCAAACGAAGUGGGAAGGCAUAGACAGCUAGGAGGUUGGCUUAGAAGCAGCCACCCUUUAAAGAAAGCGUAAUAGCUCACUAGUCGAGUCGUCCUGCGCGGAAGAUGUAACGGGGCUCAAGCCAUGAACCGAAGCUGCGGAUGCACGCAAGUGCAUGGUAGGGGAGCGUUCCGUAAGCCUGUGAAGGUGUCUCGUAAGGGAUGCUGGAGGUAUCGGAAGUGCGAAUGCUGACAUGAGUAGCGAUAAAGGGAGUGAAAAGCUCCCUCGCCGAAAGCCCAAGGUUUCCUGCGCAACGUUCAUCGGCGCAGGGUGAGUCGGCCCCUAAGGCGAGGCUGAAAAGCGUAGUCGAUGGGAAACGGGUCAAUAUUCCCGUACCGGUCAUAGAUGCGAUGGGGGGACGGAGAAGGUUAGGUCAGCCGGGUGUUGGACGUCCCGGUUUAAGCGUGUAGGCAUGCACCGUAGGCAAAUCCGCGGAGCUAAGCUGAGGCGUGAUGACGAGGUCUCUUUGAGACCGAAGUGAUUGAUACCAUGCUUCCAGGAAAAGCCUCUAAGCUUCAGUCUAUGAUCGACCGUACCGCAAACCGACACAGGUGGGCAGGUUGAAAAUACCAAGGCGCUUGAGAGAACUCAGGAGAAGGAACUCGGCAAAUUGAUACCGUAACUUCGGGAGAAGGUAUGCCCCAUUAGCUUGUAGGAGAACAUCCGAAGGGCGAAGGGGCCGCAGAGAAUCGGUGGCUGCGACUGUUUAUUAAAAACACAGCACUGUGCAAAAUCGAAAGAUGACGUAUACGGUGUGACGCCUGCCCGGUGCCGGAAGGUUAAGUGAUGGGGUGCAAGCUCUUGAUCGAAGCCCCGGUAAACGGCGGCCGUAACUAUAACGGUCCUAAGGUAGCGAAAUUCCUUGUCGGGUAAGUUCCGACCUGCACGAAUGGCGUAACGAUGGCCACACUGUCUCCUCCUGAGACUCAGCGAAGUUGAAGUGUUUGUGAAGAUGCAAUCUCCCCGCGGCAAGACGGAAAGACCCCAUGAACCUUUACUGUAGCUUUGCAUUGGACUUUGACGGGACUUGUGUAGGAUAGGUGGGAGGCUUUGAAGUGGGGACGCCAGUUCUCAUGGAGCCAACCUUGAAAUACCACCCUGGUGUCGUUGAGGUUCUAACCCAGGCCCGUGAAUCCGGGUCGGGGACCGUGCAUGGCAGGCAGUUUGACUGGGGCGGUCUCCUCCCAAAAGGUAACGGAGGAGUACGAAGGUCGCCUAGACACGGUCGGACAUCGUGUUGAUAGUGCAAUGGCAAAAGGCGGCUUGACUGCGAGACCGACAAGUCGAGCAGGUGCGAAAGCAGGUCAUAGUGAUCCGGUGGUUCUGUAUGGAAGGGCCAUCGCUCAACGGAUAAAAGGUACUCUGGGGAUAACAGGCUGAUUCCGCCCAAGAGUUCACAUCGACGGCGGAGUUUGGCACCUCGAUGUCGGCUCAUCACAUCCUGGGGCUGUAGCCGGUCCCAAGGGUAUGGCUGUUCGCCAUUUAAAGUGGUACGUGAGCUGGGUUUAAAACGUCGUGAGACAGUUUGGUCCCUAUCUGCCGUGGGCGCUGGAAGUUUGAGGGGACCUGCUCCUAGUACGAGAGGACCGGAGUGGACGCACCUCUGGUGUACCGGUUGUGACGCCAGUCGCAUCGCCGGGUAGCUAAGUGCGGAAGAGAUAACCGCUGAAAGCAUCUAAGCGGGAAACUCGCCUCAAGAUGAGACUUCCCCGGGGCCUCGAGCCCCCUGAAGGGUCGUUGAAGACCACAACGUUGAUAGGUCGGGUGUGGAAGCGUGGCAACACGUGUAGCUAACCGAUACUAAUUGCCCGUGCGGCUUGAUCCUAUAACCUUGCG
rnacentral:rRNA from 2 species